AGUGAACGCUGGCGGUAGGCCUAAUACAUGCCAGUCGAACGGCAGCACAGUAAGCUUUUGCCCUUACGGGUGGCGGGUGGCGGAUGGGUGAGGCGUAGAUAGGAAUCUUCUUUUUCGUGGGGGACAUCGGAGGGCAACUGAUGCUACCACCGAAUACGUUUUAAGGGUGAAAUCAGGGGUUCAUGGGACCUUGCCCGCAUGAAUGAGCUGAUGCGGGUUUGGUUAGUUGGUGGGGUAAAGGCCCACCAAGGCGACGUUCCGUAGCUGGUCUGCGAGGAGGAUGGGCCCAAUGGGAACGGGAACACGGUCCAAACUCCAACGGGAGGCAGCAGUGGGGAAUAUUGGACAAUGGGCGAAAGCCUGACGCAGCCAUCCCGCGUGGGUGAAGAAGGCCUUCGGUUUGUAAAGCCCUUUUGUUGGGAAAGAAAAGCAGCAGAUUAAAACCCCCCUGUUCUGACGGUACCCAAAGAGUAAGCACCGGCUAACUUCGUG
rnacentral:rRNA from 1 species